rnacentral:rRNA from 1 species
GACGAACGCUGGCGGCGUGCUUAACACAUGCAAGUCGAGCGGUAAGGCCCUUUCGGGGGUACACGAGCGGCGAACGGGUGAGUAACACGUGGGUGACCUGCCCUCAGCUCUGGGAUAAGCCUGGGAAACCGGGUCUAAUACUGGAUAUGACUCCAUGACGCAUGUUGUGGGGUGGAAAGCCUUGUGCGGCUGAGGAUGGGCCCGCGGCCUAUCAGCUUGUUGGUGGGGNGAUGGCCUACCAAGGCGACGACGGUAGCCGGCCUGAGAGGGCGACCGGCCACACUGGGACUGAGACACGGCCCAGACUCCUACGGGAGGCAGCAGUGGGGAAUCUUGCGCAAUGGGCGAAAGCCUGACGCAGCGACGCCGCGUGAGGGAUGACGGCCU